rnacentral:lncRNA from 1 species
UUUAUAAAGUGCUUUGCUAAGACAUUUUCUUCCAGAGAAGCAGCCUGGGAGGAGAGCUGAAAACCUGUGAUGGAGGGUGGCUGGGUAAUAUUAGACAAAUCCCCAAGCCAUCGUUUCCUCAUCCGCCUGGUACCGACAGGAAUCCCCUUCCCGACAACUUCACAAGAUGGCGGCCACAUAAAACAGGAAGAGGAGAGACGUGAUUCCAGCCUCACAGGGCCUACAGUCUAGUAGGGAGAGAUGAGAAAAUAGACAAUGAAGACACAGGUGCAGGAAAGUUUCCUGAGGAAGCCAAGUCUGCGCUGGGCCCUGAAAGACAAGCAGAACUUCUGAGCUUGAAGAACUCCUUUCAACAUUUCUUGUAAGGCAGAUCUAGUGGUGAUAAAGUCUCUCAGCUUUUGUUUGACUGGGAAAGUCUUUAUAUCUCCUUUAUUUUUGAAGCACAGCUUUAACAGGAAGAUUAGCCCUGAGCUAACAUCUGCUGCCAAUCCUCCUCUUUUUGCUGAGGAAGCCUGGUCCUGAGUUCACAUCCACGCCCAUCUUCUUCUACUUUAUAUGUGGGACGCCUGCCACAGCAUGGCUUGACAAGCAGUGCCAUGUCCGCACCCGGGAUCUGAACCAGUUAACCCUGGGCCGUG